rnacentral:rRNA from 1 species
UACGUAGAGUGCAAGCGUUGUCCGGAAUUAUUGGGCGUAAAGGGUACGCAGGCGGAUAGUAAAGUCAAGCGUGAAAGGUGUCGGCUUAACCGACAGACUGCGUUUGAAACUGAUUAUCUUUGACGUGUAACAGGAGGAGAGUGGAAUUUCCCUAGUGUAGUGGUGAAAUAUGGUAGAUAUUACGGAAGAACACCAGUGGCGAAGGCGACUCUCUGGGUUAACACUGACGCUGAGGUACGAAAGCUGGGGGAGCGAACGGGAUUAGAUACCCGCGUAGU